rnacentral:ncRNA from 12 species
GGGUUCGGAAGGUUCCUUCCGGAGGUUGUUUAGAUAGUCGGGCCGCUAUCU